rnacentral:miRNA from 1 species
CUUCCUGUCUCCUCCUUCCCAGU